GCCGCGCGUUGUUCUUGUCCGCGUACACCGUAAUAAUAAUAAUACAAACCGCGCACGCCACACGGCAGUGCGUCUUGUCGUGCCAUCGCGAACGGAGUUUUUUUUGCGAGCGUGCCAGUGUGUUUUAUCCGUACGCGCUAGUGUGUUUGUGUGUGUCAUACCCGCGGGUUUUUCGCGGUUUUUUUCCAUUGCCCCCCCCCCACAGAAAAGGUUCCCGUUUUUGCCGCCUUGAUUCCGCGAACCUUACGAACGGCAAGUGCGUACCCGAUAUACGUCUGAUUGUGGUUAUCCUGCAGCAACUGUUUCUAUAAACGCAUAACACUAUCAUAAUAAUAUUAUCAUACCGGUCACCCACACAAUCUGCGUACGAAAACGUAAGUUUUUAAAAAAAAUGUAUAUAUACACGCCGUAAGAAAAAUAAUACGCACGAUCCAUAAAACGUUCCGUUUCGAUCAUUGCGAAAAACUUCAGAAAAAUUACGAUUUACGAUUUUCAAAAAUAUAAAUUACUCGUCGCAGUAUAAAUAAUAAUCGUUAGUUCAGUAUUGUUUAACGUCGAAAACGGUUAUUUCUAAAUGGAAAAAGUCGAACAUUUCGAAUUUUUUUCUCAUUAAUUUUUUUUUUUUAUUUUUUUUAUAUUAAAAACUAAGUAAUUUAUUAUAACGACCGUACGACGUAAAUUUUUGUAUGUUGAUUUCAGCGUUAUAACUUGAUUGGGCAUCUAGAACAAUGUUUCCCAUUCAGUUGAUUAAAUACACUAAAUACUAAUAAUAAAUUACUACACUAAUAAAAAUACAAAACUAUUUUUUAAAAAGGCCCCCCAAAAAUUAUGUUUAAUACAGAUCAAAAUUCGACUACUGAUAAUUCAACAAUAUGUCACACGUACAAUCGUAAUAUUUAAUAAUAUUAUCACCAGGCCCGUCGCGUGAAAUAUUCGGCAAAUAUAAUGCCGCCCCUUCCGUCAAAAGCAAAAUAAAUAGUACACAAUUUUAAUAUAUUAUUAAUAUAUAAUGAAUAAUUACAGUUGAAUUUGAUUGUUGAAUUUCUAUAGAUUUCAAUGAAAAUGUUGUGAAACUCCCCACAUGUUUAUUAAUAUAUUUUUGUUUAGCUUCUCUAAUUUUUUUAUAUUCUGACCCAAAAAAUCGAUUCCGUGAUGCCGUGAUCAAUAAAAGAAAAUGUUUUUAAAUAAUGGUCAGUCUUAAUUUGAUUAGGUUAAAAUGAACGUGAACCCGUGAUAAAUGUGUAAUAUAGUAAAUAUGAUACACUGGUGGUUCCCGGGAGAGUGCGCGAGGGGUAUUGUCAUUACAAUGAGGGCAUUUGGUUGAAAAAAUAUUUUCCAUGUGUGAGAGCAUAAGACGCUUUUUAGAUUCUGAGUGGAAGGUUAUGGUUUAUGGAUUUUGGUUUCAAAAAGAUGUUUAUUUUUUUUUUCUGUGAGCAACUUUUUCAACAGAAGAUUUGCUCGGAUUUUUAAGUGUAGCAUCUUUUCUGAAAGGAAAUCGGUGUGGAAAGGUACUUAUUUUUCGAUUUUUUCAGGAGUCUUCCCAGCAAAUGUAAAAAACCAGGGAAAACUGAGAAAAUCGGUACAACAUUAAAAAAAUAUUAUUAAAGAAAAUAUAUAAAGCCUAUUUAAUUAUUUUACUAUAAAAUGACAUAUGUAUUGUUGAAAAAGCAUCACAAUCAACUGAACUGAGUGUUUUAAGUUUAAAUGUAUUGUUGAUCAAAUUCGUGAAAAACACGAGCAAUUGUAAUUUAUUUUUACCUAUAGUUACAAAUUAAUACAAUUUUCAAUUAAUAUUUAUCAAGAAAUGUUAACCGCAAACAUUGCUUAGGAUCGUUUUGUCUGCAGGAAAGAUUUAUCAUUAUAUACUGCAUUAUGUAAACUAUUCUAUUAUAUAUACCUUCCUAACUUACUACCUACAACUAUACUUCCAACUUUUAAAUAUAUGUAUAGACCACUCUGUAUAAUAUACGAAAAAUGUAUCUAUUUCUAUUAUAUUUUAGAUUUUAAGGACAACGAUUAGCAAUGUUUUGGUUUUACUUUGACGUGUGUUAUUUGGAUUUUUUGUGUAUUUAAAUAACUUUUCUUCUAGAAAUCUUGUUCCAAUCAAAAAACAAUGAAAGAUCUUUUUUGUAGCAUUUUAGAUUUAGUUGUCCUAUUAAGAAGGUGAUUUUUUUUUAUGUAGCUUUCAACAUUUUUCAUUAUACUUGGAGGGAAAAACGUAAAUAGGAAAAAAGGACAAAUUUACGGCAUUAAAAAUGUCAUUAUUUUUUUUUAUCGGAAAUCUUAUUCCCAAUUUUAAUUUCAUUUUUAUUGUAGGAAAUUUUUUCCUAGUUUGUUUCCCAACUUCUCACCUAAUAUGGCUACAACAGUGAUAUUAGCAGUAUAUGUAUAUUUAUAUCUAUCACUAUUUAUUACGAGUGUAAAAAAAUAGCUUGCCCAUACUUGUCGGUCGUGAGAGGUAGUUAUUUGGUUUUGAUAGGGAUCUUAAUUCAUAUGGGUAUUAAUUUUUUAAUUUCGUUUUAUUAGAAAAAGAUUAUUUAUAAAAUAAUAGCGACCGUUGGGUCAGACGAUGCACAUAUUUUUUAACUCCUAGUACUAUACUAAAUUUUUUAAACAAACUCUUAAAUUAUGUAUUAUAUUAAACCUAAUAUUCCUAAAAUUUUAAAUACAUAAAUAUAAUUUUUGUAUUUAAAAAAAAUGACAUCUUAUAUUAUUUCAAAUAUUUCAACAUACGUUUUAUUUAUAAUAAUUUUUAUCAUAACGCCACCUCCCAAGAACUAAUUAUGUUCAAUUGAACUUAUAUUCUUAAAUACCUAAUUAAUAUUUAACAACAUUACACACAAAUAAAUAACAGAAGUAAAUAUGUUAUGUUAGAACAGUAUACGACGAAAAUGAAUUAAUUUAAUUAGUCUUAUCAUAAAAUAGUGAAAACAAUGACCUGCUGUGAUGAAAUGACCCGUUAUAAGAUGAAAAAUUAAAAACACUAAUAUUAUGUCAUUAGUCAGCUAUCAUUACAAUCUUAUCUAAAAUUUUCUGACUCGUCCAUAAAAUUGUUUUAAUAAUUUAUUAUUUAAACUAUCAUCACUAAUUAUGGAUAAAAGUCAAUCUGUCCCAUCUUACUUCUUAAUAUCUAUUCCCUCGCGCAUUCUCCAGGUUCUUCUAAUAAGUCACAGUAAUUUGUUAUAAAUAAUGUAAUUUAAUUUCGAUAGUUUGUUACGGUUAGUAUUUUUAGAUUUUCAGUAAUGUUAAUAUUAUAGGUAUACUCAUGAAAUAUCAGUAUUAGGUAUAGGUAAUAAAUUAUCUAACGGUGAAUCACGAUAGAGUGCAACGUAAAUCUGUCAGAUUACCCAGUGUCGAAUAACAAUCAAAAAUGACGGUGAUAUUUUAAUUUAAUUUGACGGUUAUUGCAGUAGAUAUUAUUAUUUUAUCAUUUCUACUAAGUAUAUGCAAAGUAGAUGGUUUUCAGAUUUGUUGUAAUAAUAAGUAUACAUAUGUUUAUUAGGAAUUACUAUCAUACAAUAUAAUUACCUAAGAAUUAUUUAAAGUGUCUGAAUUAUAUCGUAGACAAUAUAUUAUAUUAUAUUAUUAUAGUCAGACAAUUCAAUUUUUUUUUUACAGACCAUAUAAUAACUUUUUUAUACAUAUACAUAGGUUUAUCUACAUUGAUAAUUUUAGUCGAGAGUUAUAUUAAAUAGACAAAAAACGUUUUUUUUUUUUCUUAAAAACGAUCAAUCUAUAUAUUAUUUCUGCAUUAUACCUACCUAUAUAAAAUACUUUAUAAUGUCUAAAGUGCGUAAACUACAAUAAGGUUAUCAUUUUAUAAAUUUACAAUAAUAAAUGCCUGUACACAAUAUUAUACAGUGAAUGUAAUAAUUAAUAUUGAUAUUUGCAGAUAAUAUCUGUAAAUUAGUGAGUAUAAUCUUUUUUUUUAAUAAAAACUGGCAAUUUCUUUAUUGGCUAUAGUUCUUUUUACUUAUUAACUGUGUUAUAAUGUAUUAUAAUACUAUAUUAUUUCCGUGGUAACAUUUUAGAUUCUGAGCGAAGCGAAGAACUUAUUGGUUUCACAAUGAAGUUUAUUUUUUUUUUUGUAAACAGCUUUUCUACUAGAAAUUUUACUCCGAUUUAUCAAGUGUUUUUCUGAAAUGAAAUUUUAUCUGGGGAUACAUUAAGAACGUCAAUUUUUUGAUUUUAUAAGCAGUUUUCAUAAUGAUUGGGAAAAACAUAGGAAAGUGGGAAAAUUUACGAUAAUAAUGUUUUUAUUAUUUUUAAUUUCAGUUUGAACAAAUUUGAACAAAAAACUUAUAUUUACUUUUUUUAGACGUGAUAAAAUUUUAUCUUAAACCUCAAUUUCAAUUUAAACCUGGCUAGGUCUAAAAGUAUAAAAUCCGUGAUUUCACUAAUGUUGCUCACAAUUAGUUAGAUUGAGACAAUAAAAAUGCGGGUAUAAUUAAGCGUCCUCUUAUAAUAGCAAUAAUUUUAAUUUUUAAUAUUAUAUUUUAUUACUAUCGAUAUAUAAGAAAAAACUUUCUACUCGUAACAGAAAUUGAUUUAAAAUCGUAAUAUAAGAAUACUUAUACGGAUGGUGACUAGAGACCUCGUGCUUAUACAAUAAUAUAUGUAUACAUAGAUAGAUUACCGUGGGAUAAUAAUUUAUAUUGUAACCAUGAUGCAUUUAGUGCACGCACAUAAACAAAUCCUUACGUUCACGCAUAGUUGUACAUGCAACUGCAACAGACAUCACACCAUCGUCAUCAUCUACAGUUUGCAUAGAGUUCACUAUUAGUUUUGAAUUCUAAGUGAAUUGAGAAUUAAAACUUUUGGUGUAUUAAGGAGGUAACUUUUUUGAUUAUCCUUUUAGUUUUUUAAAUAAAUCGGAAAACUACCAGUUGUUGUUAAUUUCUGAUUUAGAUACCUUGACAGUUAAGGGGAAAAAUACGAAUUUUAAAUAAUAAUACUCUGAUCAAAAUCGUUUUUCGUUAGCAAUGGUUUAUCAGGGUAUAUAGAUAUAAAUUCAAUUACUCGAUAUAUCACCUCUUCCAACUUUUCUCCUAAAACUGCAGCACGUCCAACUGCAUUUAGUAUCAGCUAUUUUUAGCAUUUUUUUUCCUGCAUUCUGUAAUCAACUUUUUUACAAGAAAUCUUGCUCUGAUUUUCAGCGUGUAGCAUUUUUUAAAAAAGAAAAUUUUACCUAGUUGGUGCACUAAGAAGUCUUUUAUUUUGAUUUUCUUUUUAGUUUUAUUAACAAUUGUAAAAAACCGGGAAAAAACUAAGAAAUUUACGGCAAUAAUAACGCUUUCAUUAUUUUCGAUAUUGAUUUUUUCCUUACUGUAAUUCGAUUAGGUUAACUUUUACUACAAUGUACUUAUAUUUGGCUAUCUGACAUUUCCGAGAUUUUUUUUUAAUCUUAUUAGAGAUUUUUCAUAAAACAACAUAAUAAUAUGAUGAGUAUACUAUAGAUAUACUAAAUACUCAUAUACAUAUACAAUAGUCAUAAUACAUAUUACUGUAAAUGGUGCCUGUGCACUGAUAAAACAAUAAACCAUUUUCUAUUUAAAUAUAAUACUUAAUUAGUUAUUUAUUAAAAAAAUUAUAUAUCCUAAAGUACUUAUAUAUUUCAAUUAAUUUUCAAACGUAUGUAAAUGUAUAUUUUAACGUUACCAGUUGGAUCCCACAAAAAUACUAUAAAGUAAACUAAUAAUAUAAUCGAUAUAGUUUAUCGAUAUUGAACGGUAUUUAAUCUUUUUUAUGCACGUGUAUAUUAUAGUGACUCAGCAUCGUUUAGACUGCGUAUAGCAUAUUAUAAUACAACGGAAUGAAUUACACGUAUGGCAAAAUUUUACGUUCAACUUCAUUUUUGCCUAUAUUUGUCCAUUUUUCCUGUACGUUUAUAAAUAGUUUUUAAAAUUAUUAUCAAAACAGCUUGGAAAAUCAAAAAAUAACCUCAAUCUAUCAAGUAGAACCAGCAUGUAACAAAAAAAGGUACUUAUCAUUUCUCGAUCGGAACAAGAUUUUUGGUAAAAAAGUUGCCCACAUAUGCACAAAAAAGCGCACAUAAUAGUAAACCGGCCAAUAUAUUUCUCGCUACGCUCAGAAUCGAAAAUAAUAUAUAUGAAUACAAAUCUGGUUAUGCUCUGACAGCUCUGAGUAUACAAUUUGAACACAUACCUACGUAUACAUAAUAAGUUUUACUUCACCUACACUUAUUUAAAUUAUUUAUAGCAAAUUCAUGUAGGACACUGUUUGUAUAUACAUAUAUAAAAUCACACAUAGAAUAUCGAUCGGAAGCGCGUGACCUCACUGUUCUCGAUACAUCUUUUUAUUUUUUUUUUACGCACGAGAGGUGUCUGUUGGAUAUCGUAUCAAUCGGUUCUCGCGCCUGUAAACGAUAUCGUUCAAAAACUCGUUUGCAUCAGAAUAAAAAUGCAGUUAAUUAACGUAUUUACAAUCAGAACGUUAAUUAGUAGGCUAUAAAGAUUACAAAUAUAUUUUUUUUAUUUAUAUAAUAAUCUAUAAGAAGUGAUUUGGACUAGAUUCUCUUGAUUUGCAGUAAUACUACUUUCACGACGUAUAUCUCCAUUCGUCGUACUUAAAUAUUUACAUAUUAUUAAAUAAUUAUUUUAAAAAGGCAAUUAUUCAUUUAGCAUUCAGUUUUUUUUUUAAAAUUAACAAUUAUACCAUCUGUGUUAAUUAUAUAUAUAUAUAUAUAUAUAUGUGUAUUUUAAAGUACUUACCUAUAAGUAUGUAAUACAUUAUAUUCAUGCUAUAUGUAUAAUAGUACAAGUACGAACCGGAUAAUAUGAUGAAACUGUGGGGUACUUUUGCAAUAUAUUUAUUUAUCUAAUUAAACUAUAAUAAUAAUAAGUUAUAGGGCAUAUAGUAGUAUUAUUAUUUUAAACUUGAAGCGAUACCUACUCUGGAAUAUUUGAUGAUUUAAUAGAUACUCAAAAUUUGUCACUAUAGGUAUAUAUUUUUUUUCAUAAUUAACGGUGACAAUAUUAAAUAGUAUUCAGUAAAUGAUGUUUAUUUGUGUUCACAACUUUUAAAAGUAGUUAUAAUCAGGAAAAACAAACCAAUAAAUUACCUCUCUAACUUUUCUCACCAAAAAUGUAUUUUUAGAAAACCCAUUAUUGUAUACUUAAAUAUAUUUUAUGUUAUAGCGCAAUAUUUGUGUCAUAAUAAUAAUACAGGUCAUAAUAGUUUCUGUAAGCUCUGUCAAGGAAAUAUAUUAUGAAGUUUAAUCUUACGUCGAACUAUCAUGCGAGAACCCUAAUAUAGUACACAUAUUUGAAAUAAAUUACAAGUAAAACAAUAUGUAUCUAUGUAAUGAUUAUUUUCGUUUUUUAUUUAAAAAUAUACAAUAUAUGUGUAUAUCUAUACACAUAUAUUUUAUAUUAGAUACCAGCUAUAUUAUAUAUUAUUAAACUGCACUAAAAACCAAAUAGUAAUUUACUGAAGCAAACCAAUAAAAUGUAUUUAAAUUAUAUUAUAUAUUAGAUAAACGGAAAACUCAUGAAACUAUUAUAUUUAUGCAUUUUAAACGAUAAAAAAAUAAUUAUAAUAAUACAAUAUGAAAUACUAAUAUUUAGUCACAGGAAAUAAAGGGCUUAAUUCAAUUUUCAAUACAUGCAAAUUUAAUUUUGAAAAUUUAUACAUUUAUGCAAUUGAGACAAAAAAAAAAAAAUGACAUAAAACACAAGUAUAAAAAAAAAGGACAUGACUAUUUCGCAAGAUGGAUGGGUCACUAUUGUAGGUGAGAAUUUGGGAAAGUAAAAGAGAAAUUUAAUGUAUAUUCGUAUGAAACGAUUAAUCUUUGCUAACAAAAAACAAUUCUGAGCGGAAUUUUGAAAAUAAUAAAUUUUGUAAAUUUUCCUGUUUUUCCUGGGAUUUUCCCAUUUGUUAUAAAAAUCCCCAGUAAAAUAAAAAAAAUACCUUCCUAAUGUAUCACUCUAGUCAAAUUUUCUUACUGAAAAAGUAUUACAUUUGAAAAUGGGAGCAAAGUUUUUGGUAGAAAGGUUGUUCACAGAAAAAAAAAAAUUCAAAAAUAAACACCAUUAUAAAACUAACACAUUCCUCGUUCCACUCAAAAUCUAAAUGAAGACACCAAAAGAUGAUUUAAGUCCUUCAUAGUAUCAAAUACAUGUAUUUUUUUCUAUUUAGUAUUCGGAAUCGUGGAAUAAUAUAAUAUAAUAUAUAUGUAUAUUUUAAUGAAGAGGAAAACGAAAUGUUUGUUGAUUAAGAAUGUAUAUUGCGUUUAUAUUCGUUUUCAGAAAAUGUAUGAUAUUUUAUACAGAAGUGAUUAUUUGGUUAUGAUCCAUUAGUUAUUAUCAUUUUUUAUGAUCAAUUUAUUCCCUAUUUAUAUUUCUCAGUUCUUCGGACAAAAUUCUAAACUUGUAUACCUCGUUUAAACAGUAAGUCCAAACAUUAUAGUGCUACGAAUACGAAAAUGUUCAGAAAAAUAUUUAUUUUUUUUCGAAUUUCAACUGAAUAGGAGAAUUAGGGCCGCCAUUUUAAAUCAAAACUCAUUUAUAAGGUUUGUUAAAUAUAGAGCUGGGGUUAAAAUUUUAAAAUAAUUUUGAAAUAAAGCUCAAAUAGCAAUUUCACAUUGAUUGAAAAACCCCAAAAAUCAAAUUUAUUCUUAAAAUUCUCCGAGACGUUAGUUUGGUCAUUAUAAAAUAAUUAUCCUGCGUUAUUAUAUUCAAAUGUUUUAUAUACGUAAUGUGUAUGGUUCUUAAAUGACGAAAUAAAAUAAAUUUACAGUAUUAUAAUAUGUAUAUAGCAAUUAGAAAUACAAUUUUUCCUCAAAAUGUAUAUACGCGCGCAGGUAUUUUGCUGGAACGUAAAUCACGCGAAAUUUAAACGACGAGGAAUUCUCUCGGUCGUAUACUUUCGGUUUUUUUUUUUUAUUAUUAUUAUUUCUAUUAUUUUUAUGGGAUGUCAAAAACAAAUUACACUCGGUUGCACGCAACGCCCGAAAAAAUGUUAAAAUCAUUACGAAAUUAGAAUGACAUUAAAAUAAUAUAUUAUUAUAGGUACUAUUAUGUUAUUAUUAUUGUAUUACUAUAUAUAAUAUAUUCAUAUGCACUUAUAUCAUGUCAGUUAUUUGCUAUAAAAAGUCUACGCAGUAUCGCAGUAGAAAACUGCAUAAAUGUUGUCGGUUCGGACAUUAAAAUAACGAAUGAAUAAUAUGACAAUAUUAAUAAAAACUUUAAACUAGAUAAUUUGUUUGUGGUUUUUACAUUUUGUUUGUAUAUAUAACAUACAGGAUUCAAUAAAAUACAUUUUUGAUAAUUUAAAUAAAAAAGGUCGCCAUUUCGGGACUUUUGUUACUUUUCAAUUGUUUUCUUUAUUGACUCUGGUAUUAAUUUUAUAAAAUAAUAAAAUAUGGUAUAUAUGCGAGUACACGUGUUGGAAAUAUUUAAAAAAUUAACUAAUAAAAAAAAAAAAAACAGUUAAUUUACAUAUGCAAUUAUUCUAGUAUAGUGCAAUAGAAUAAUUGUAAAAGUUCUAUAAAAUAAGUUUAAAAAUAUCUUGAAUAUACAGACAUAUUUUUAAACAGUAUUCUACAACAAUAUUUUUUAGAUAACAAAAGAAAACGUAUUGAAUCUAUGUCAUAUUAUCGUGUUUUACAAUCUUUGUGUAAACAAAUUGUUUUUUUUUCCAACGUGUUCCUCCUAUGUACUUAAUAUUCAAUCAUGUAUUGUUUUUUCGCCUUUGUUGUUCAUCUAUUACCUAAUGAUAGGUUUUUCUUUUUAAUCGAAACCGAUCGUAGGUACCUAUAUACGUAGGCAGAUUUUAUAAUAUUCUACAAUAAACUCACUAAAAUGUUAUAAUACGUCAUCGGGAAUUCAUCAUCAAGUUUAUAAUUCGUGUAACAUAAUCUAUUUGAAUUCGGAUCAUCGGUUUUCCGCACACGGCUGCGUUGGAUGCUACACGUGUAAUCGGCAAUCGAAACAUUCACAUAACGACAUAAUAUAUUAUUUCAUGUGCAAAAUUAGUCUUAUCAUUACAUAUUUUUGUUUUUUGCGUGUAUAGGGUACACUUCGACGACGGGUACUCGUCGCCGCAGCUUUAAUAACACUGCAAUUUUUCGUAACACUCGCUGUCGAUGUGAUGGCCGUGUCGAUCGGCGUGCCGCAGCGGACGAGCGACAACGGGCGCGCGGCGCCGACAUCGCGUGUUGCUUGAGGCGCCCCCAAAACGGAGUACGUCACGGGGACGGGGCCAUGCGGCGCCCCCCCAGCCCCAU
rnacentral:lncRNA from 1 species